rnacentral:rRNA from 1 species
GGCGUGCCUAAUACAUGCAAGUCGAACGCACUCUCGUUUAGAUUGAAGGAGCUUGCUCCUGAUUGAUAAACAUUUGAGUGAGUGGCGGACGGGUGAGUAACACGUGGGUAACCUGCCCUAAAGUGGGGGAUAACAUUUGGAAACAGAUGCUAAUACCGCAUAAAACCUAACACCGCAUGGUGUAGGGUUGAAAGAUGGUUUCGGCUAUCACUUUAGGAUGGACCCGCGGUGCAUUAGUUAGUUGGUGAGGUAAAGGCUCACCAAGACCGUGAUGCAUAGCCGACCUGAGAGGGUAAUCGGCCACACUGGAACUGAGACACGGCCCAGACUCCUACGGGAGGCAGCAGUAGGGAAUCUUCCACAAUGGACGAAAGUCUGAUGGAGCAACGCCGCGUGAGUGAAGAAGGUUUUCGGAUCGUAAAACUCUGUUGUUGGAGAAGAAUGUAUCUGAUAGUAACUGAUCAGGUAGUGACGGUAUCCAACCAGAAAGCCACGGCUAACUACGUG